AUGUGUGAUCAUUUUGUUGGUAAAAACACAUUUUAUCACUGCUCUUUCACAGAAAUGCCCAGAUACCACAUCAAAGUCAAAGAUUAUUCCUCCCUAAUUUUAUCAGCUUUUAAAUAUUUUCAGAGCCAGAGAUUCCUGAAUUCCUCAACUAAUCAAAAUUACUUCACCAAUGACGAGUAUACUACAUGUUCCUGCUUCUCAGUCUUGCCCUUCUUCUCUACCUUUCUACCUCCCUCUCUGCCUUCCUUCUUGUCUUCCUUUAAUUAAGACUGGUGUCUCAGUGAUGAUCUGAAGAGAAGCUCACUGUGUGCUUACAAGUUCUUCCACACAUGCUGUUUUCAGAUGUCCUCAUAAUGUGCACUCUCCUGCUAAGAGCUGCAAAGUGGGGCCUCUCCUGAUUUGGUAGAGAAGAACCUGACUUUGUGCAAGAAGUAAGAGUGAGUCUUUAUUGUUUUUAUUUGUUUAUUGCUUUGGUGUGGUUUUUCUGGGAGCUCUGUUCCUUCUGGAAAGAUGGAGAGAUGGGAGGUAAUUUCCCCUUUUAGAUGUUUUGUUUGGGCUGUGCAUUCAGUUCAGAAUUUAAUUCUGGUCACUUCAACUCUUUUCAAAAGAGCCUUUCCACAAGAUCCUGAAGAGGUGACCUACACUGUUAUCACCUGGGAUGAUAGAAACCAUAAGGGAACAACUUAGUAAUCUUUCUUUUCAGUAAGUUCUUUGAGUAAUGACUAUGUACACUAAAACCUGAGACCCUCACUCUAAAAGCAUUUUAUAAGAAGAGAGCAAUCACAUAAACUGCCUCUGCCUUACUCCACAUCAGUUCAUAAGUAAGAGUAUAAACUUCCUUAGGUCAAGGAUCUUGCCUUUUAUUUCUUUGUAUUUUAGACAAGGCAUUAUGCAACCAUGGGAUGAGUGAGGUCCUAGAAGCCAAGAACAUCUGAGCUCCCACUCUAUCUGCAAUGUCUCACCUCAGUGAAGUUCAUUCAUUAACUGCCCUGAAAUAUAAUAUUUCCCAGGGAGUUAUUAAGCAUUAGCUUCCUGGCCAACUGGUAUAAAAUGGAAUGGCUAUGUAAAGCAUCUGGUAGAAGACCUGGUGUGUAGCUGGAGCUUUCAAAAAGGCUGUUACUUUCACUUUCACUUUCUAUGAGACUUGAUUCUUUCAUUUAUAGAAUGGAAAUGUUAUAUUUCUAUUACACAUUGAUGAGAAGACAAAAAUAGGAAAUUAUGUGAAAACAAAGCUUUGCUUGCCAGAUGUGACUUAUUACCCUUUUGGAUAUAUUUCAUGAUAUCAGUCAAUCAAGCCAGAUGUAUCACAUACUUAUUUUAUUGGGUGCCUACUAUGUACAAAUCCCUCUUCUUAGGUGAGCUUGUGGAUUCAAAAUUAAAAUCACAGCAUUCCUGAACUCCAGGACCUCACAGUCUAAUGAGUAACAAAAGUACGCGUACAAUUCUUAUAGAAAGUAACCUAUGCUCUGGGCUGCCUAUUCAGUAGUGAAAAACUAAAAGCUUACAAGAGUUGUUUUGGAGAAGGAAGAAAUUAAUUCUGACUGAGAGACUGGAACAUUUCCCCAUUUAAUGCUGGUUGAAUUUAGAAGAGAAAAUAAAAUUAAGGAAAACCCUAUCGCUGCUUAUUUA
rnacentral:lncRNA from 13 species